GUACUUUUGGCCCUGUCCUCUGUCUUCUGAGGACAUCUCUGUGAAGCCAGCAUUUAGGUGUGAGAUAAAAGGAAAGCUGUGUCUGUCUGUACAUCCACAGUGCGCUCCCCAAGCCUCUCCUACUGUACAGAUGUCUCACGUCUGCUUUGAUUUCUCCAUUAUCUUCUUAUAUUUCUAUAUGUAUAGUGUAAUAGACUUGUGUUAACUAGUGUCCUUUUCCCUUUUAGUAAGCACGAUCAUGCUCCUUUUAAGCCUUACCUGAGAAAAGCAAUGCCAUAAGGUAGAAAGCAUUAAUGAAAUGAAACUGUGCACAACAUAACUCCCUCUCCCCUUCCUCCUCCUGUCCUUUGUCCCUUGGUGCCAAUGCUCUGAGAAGACAUGCAGGUGCUGCAUGUGAGUCACUGCAAGAAACACUGCAGCCAUCGGACGGUCGAGGUCACGCUGUACACUGACUUGAGCAGUGGGUGACCAAACAUGUCGUUUUGUCUUCUCCAGCAGCUUAAAGCAGAAAGUAUUUAAACCCACUGCCAUCUUGCCCCAUCUGUGUGGUAUCCCAUAGAACUCCAUGGGAGGCUCUUGUUGGGAAAAUGCAGUUUUAAGAAGCAGCCUCAGCAGCCGUUCCCGCAGCCUCUUCUUCCCGGGAAGAAGUGUGGCUGUCGGACUGUUGGCACAGUCAUGUGUAUUUAUAAAGCAUAGUCAUCUUUAGGACAACUGAAGAAAAGCUGGAAAAAAGAAAGAAAACAAGCAGACUUGAACACUGAAGCAACCUCAGACAUCUCUUUAUUUUGAUGAUAUAUUUUUGUAAGGAAAAUAAAUAUUCAUAUGAUCAGGAAUGUAUAUAACUAAAUGAAAUC
rnacentral:lncRNA from 1 species